CCUACGGGAGGCUGCAGUGGGGAAUAUUGGACAAUGGGGGGAACCCUGAUCCAGCCAUGCCGCGUGUGUGAAGAAGGCCCUCGGGUUGUAAAGCACUUUCAGUGAGGAAGAACGCCUGGUGGUUAAUACCCAUCAGGAAAGACAUCACUCACAGAAGAAGCACCGGCUAACUCCGUGCCAGCAGCCGCGGUAAUACGGAGGGUGCGGGCGUUAAUCGGAAUUACUGGGCGUAAAGCGCGCGUAGGUGGCUUGAUAAGCCGGUUGUGAAAGCCCCGGGCUCAACCUGGGAACGGCAUCCGGAACUGUCAAGCUAGAGUGCAGGAGAGGAAGGUAGAAUUCCCGGUGUAGCGGUGAAAUGCGUAGAGAUCGGGAGGAAUACCAGUGGCGAAGGCGGCCUUCUGGACUGACACUGACACUGAGGUGCGAAAGCGUGGGUAGCAAACAGGAUUAGAUACCCCAGUAGUC
rnacentral:rRNA from 1 species